GGUGGAGGCUGAGCUGCACCUGCUGACAGCAGAGGAGGCGGAGAAAUCCCCCGCAGGGCUGGCCCGCAAUGAGCCCGACCCACUGGAGAAACCCAACCGUCCCGACACCAGCUUCAUCUGGUUCCUGAACCCCCUGAAGUCCAUCCGUUACUUCAUCUGGCACACGUACCGCUGGCUCCUCCUGAAACUCCUCCUCCUCCUCCUUGUGCUCCUCCUGGUUGGCCUCUUCCUCUACUCCAUGCCGGGCUACCUGGUCAAGAAGUUGCUGGGGGCCUGAGGCACCAUCCCUUUGUUCAUGUCGCCCCGACACCUCCUUCAUCUGGUUCCUCAACCCACUCAAGUCCAUCAAGUACCUCAUCUGUACCCGCUACAAGUGGCUCAUCAUUAAGAUCGUGCUGGCGCUGCUGCUCCUCAUCAUGGUGGGACUUUUCCUCUACUCCAUGCCUGGCUACAUGGUCAAGAAGCUGUUGGGAGCGUGAGGCCGCCCGGGGCCGGGGCCACGUACCCGCUCGCCAUGCGCAGCGGCCCGGCUGGGGCGGCGCUGGGAUGGCUUGGGGGAAGAGCCCGCAGCUUCUCCUUGUUUGCGUUUCCUUCUGCGCGGCUCCCUUUGGUGCAUUUCUCUCCUGAGGGCGGAGGGAACGACGUUGGGCCUGGGGUGCCGGGGUCCCUUAGCGCUUUCCCUGGGUGAAUGCAGCUGCCCAGGUCAGCGAAUACAGGACGGCCAAGCUGGCUCUAGGAUUUCACUUCCCACAGCUAAGAUCCUCUUAGCCGGGCCCAGUUCUGGCUCCCAGAGCCCCAGGAGGCCAGUCGCCCACGCUCACGGCUGGCCUGGCAAGGAGGGGGGAUGUGAGGCUCUGGUUUGUUCCAUGGCCAGCACCGCCCUGGGGAGCAGGUGCCAGGAAGAACGGGGGUGUUGCACCCUGAGAGGUCACAUCAGAAGAGCCUGAGGAGAGGAACUGUGGGACUCUCCAGACAAGCAGCCCCCUCUGCUCAAGUCCCCCAGCCCACAAUCCCAUGCUGGCUCGGCGGCUGCCCAUGACCAAAGCCCCCAGGCAGGGGUGACAGUCACCCCGGAUGCGGUGGAGAAAGCAGCAGCAGAGCCGGGGAAACAUGCCCAGGCUGUGAGGAGGCAGCUCUCCAGGCUGCCUGCCGUCAUCGUGUUGGGUGGGCCGAGACCCAGCCUGGGCCCGUUUUCCAUCCCCCUGACACCUCAGCCACUCCAUGGGGGCUGCUGCACAGCUUGUGUGGGAACCCUUUGGUGCUGGCUGUAGGGCCACCCAGCAUGUCCCUUUUCUAGCCCCGAUGCCCAGUAAACGCACCGGGGCCUGUUGCCGCAGGGGAGCCUGGGAGGGUCCCUGCUGGCCCCAACCCCUGCUAAUGCUUGGCCUGACGUGUUAUAGCCGUUCCCUUCCCUCCGGGCCUGAGAGCCGUGUCUGGUGUUUGCUCAUUUCUGGCCCUGGGUCUGAGUCCCUCGCUGCUGGGGACGAGAGCCACUAG